rnacentral:rRNA from 1 species
UGGGGAAUCUUGGACAAUGGGGGCAACCCUGAUCCAGCCAUGCCGCGUGAGUGAUGAAGGCCUUAGGGUCGUAAAGCUCUUUCGCCUGUGAAGAUAAUGACGGUAGCAGGUAAAGAAACCCCGGCUAACUCCGUGCCAGCAGCCGCGGUAAUACGGAGGGGGUUAGCGUUGUUCGGGAAUUACUGGGCGUAAAGCGCACGUAGGCGGACCAGAAAGUUGGGGGUGAAAUCCCGGGGGCUCAACCCCGGAACUGCCUCCAAAACUAUUGGUCUAGAGUUCGAGAGAGGUGAGUGGAAUUCCAAGUGUAGAGGUGAAAUUCGUAGAUAUUUGGAGGAACACCAGUGGCGAAGGCGGCUCACUGGCUCGAUACUGACGCUGAGGUGCGAAAAGUGUGGGGAGCAAACAGGAUUAGAAUACCCUGGGUAGUCCACACCGUAAAACGAUGAAUGCCAGUCGUCGGGUAGCAUGCUAUUCGGUGACACA